AAGUCGUAACAAGGUCUCCGUUGGUGAACCAGCGGAGGGAUCAUUAUCGAGUACCGUUUUUUAACGCUCGUAACCCUUUGUGAACCAUUAUAACUCGUUGCUUCGGCGGCGCGUCCCCCCCGGGGGCCGCGCCCGCCGGUGACUUCAGAAUCUCUGUUCGAACCCGACGUUACUUCUGAGUGUUCUUAAGCGAACUAUUAAAACUUUCAACAACGGAUCUCUUGGCUCUAGCAUCGAUGAAGAACGCAGCGAAACGCGAUAAGUAGUGUGAAUUGCAGAAUUCAGUGAAUCAUCGAAUCUUUGAACGCACAUGGCGCCCCCCGGCAUCCCGGGGGGCAUGCCUGUCCGAGCGUCGUUUCAACCCUCGAGCCCUCCGUGGCCCGGCGUUGGGGACCUACGGCUCCGGCCGCAGCCCCCGAAAACCAGUGGCGGACCCGCGUCGGCCCUUCCCUUGCGUAGUAGCAUCAGCCUCGCAUCGGAAGCCCGCGGGAGCUCCGGCCUCUAAACCCCCACCAAAGCCCGCCCCCGGCGGCACCAAGGUUGACCUCGGAUCAGGUAGGAAUACCCGCUGAACUUAA
rnacentral:rRNA from 1 species